rnacentral:snoRNA from 1 species
UGGACACGUAAGUUUUUCUUUCAGUUUCUCCUCUAUGUGGGGAAAACUGUACAAGUGUCCUAUAGUAACACAGAAGCUAUCUGUUCAACUCUGAUGAGUUAAUAGGGUUGGAUCGUUCCACUUCUGACAGUU